rnacentral:rRNA from 1 species
CCCUUAGAUGUUCUGGGCCGCACGCGCGCUACACUGAUGCAUUCAACGAGCCUAUCCUUGACCGACAGGUCCGGGUAAUCUUUGAAUCUGCAUCGUGACGGGGAUAGAUUAUUGCAAUUAUUAAUCUUCAACGAGGAAUGCCUAGUAGGCGCAAGUCAUCAGCUUGCAUUGAUUACGUCCCUGCCCUUUGUACACACCGCCCGUCGCUCCUACCGAUUGAAUGUUCCGAUGAAUACCAUGGACUGAGAGUAUGAAUGGGUUCGCCUAUUUCUGCUUCUCGGGAAGUGGAGUAAAUCUUAACAUUUAGAGGAAGGAGAAGUCGUAACA